ACUAGGCAUGUGACAGGUUGGAAGAACCUUUAGAGCUUUGGCACAAAUGCAUCCAAGACCCCAGCAGCAAAAUUAUAGUGACCUUUGUUAAGAAUAAAAAAAAGGAAAAGGGCAAACGGAAAAGGCAGAAUGUUGCUUCAAAAAAAAAUGACUGAAUAAACCUUUUAGUUCAAGUCUAUUUAUCCUAAUGUAGCUACUUACAAACCGGCUUCUGGUCUUCUCCUGUGUAAAGUAGCAGCACUGAUGGUCAGCUGAGAUGAAGGACAAAUGGAGGGAGAACCAUGUGCAUGAUCUUGACCUUGACCUUGAGUGCCUUGGAGGAAAGGGCACAUGAGGCAGGAAAAUCCAGUGAAGAAGACCAACCUGAAGCAUGGGAGGAAAGAAGGAAGGGAAGAAGCAAUCAGCAUUCUGUUCAGAGGAUUUCCUUAGGAAAGCAAGCAGAGGAAGCAGAACACAGCCUGCAGCAGAUAAACCUGCAUCCACACCUCUUUCCAGGGCAAGGUGAUAAAAUGCAGUUACUGAUCAUAUACCUGGUUACAGCAACUUGACAUCUUCAGCUUAUGAUGAAAGAUACAAAUGAACUGCACACAGUUGCAACUCAAUAUGUGUCUGUACUUUCAAUCCCCCCCCCCGGGAGAUGUCAAAAAGGUGUUAAGGUUUUCAUGAAUCUAGAGGUGGGGAUACGUAAAAAACAUUGCCAUAAUUCCAAAUCACUGCGCUUGACCAUAAAAGUUUAGAUGUAGGUAGGGAUGGGGGAGAAAUUUGAUUCAGUUCACAUUUAAAGGCAAACAACAUUUUCCAAAAAAGUACAUGAACCAAAACAGCUAUCCUUAGAAAUCGGCAUUUCUAUGAAUUUUGCAGUACAGUUUUCUAGCCAAGUAAUGUGUACAAAAAUGGGUAUACUACUACUACUUUAAAAAAUGCAUAUACAGGGGUAAAGUGCACAUUAAAAUGUAUAUAUUAGUGAAAAUAACUUACAGAAAUGUGUUAUA